CCUGGCAACGGGCCCUGGGAGCACUGGGUCCUUGGGGCUUUCUCCAGCUCCUCCUGGUCCCCUGGGUCUUUGGUGUCCUCUGCUCAGCAACCUGAGCUGAGCCCCAGCCCGAGAGGGGACAGGUCCCUGAGGGAAGGGACUGGAAAGUGAGACUCUAUGUUCUGCAAAUGUGGUAUCCAAAGGUCAGGCCAUAUCUGUAUCUUGGGUGAUAAGGAAGUCUGCUUUAAAGACCAGACACUCGAGGACCCAGUGUUUGGAGGUAAGGAAGUGUCAUAAAACUGGAAAGUGCUGUCUUCCCUCCUUCCUUGUCUUUUUGGAUUACACGGGACAACUAGUGGGCCUUGAGCCCAAUGGUAGCUGCUACUAAUGUAGCCACUGCCACAUCCUCCAAGGCCAGCUUUGCCCUGCAAAGAGUGUGCAGGGGGCCAGGACUUCCUCCUCUCCCUCCUCUGGGCUUACAGAGCCUAAAUGUGCAUAUUCUCCCCAGUUAGAGAAGACAGUGUGGAGGCUGGAGAAAGGAAGAGUAGCCACCCUCUCUCUUCCUCUCCCACACAGUGGGGCCACCUUUCCUGGAGAAUCCAAGAUGCAGCAAGGAGAACUGGACACCUUGAUUCUCACUGCUACCAUGAAGAUGCUCUGGGAGUGAUGAAACACACACCUCAGGCCCUACCCUGAGC
rnacentral:lncRNA from 10 species